AUUGAACGCUGGCGGCAGGCUUAACACAUGCAAGUCGAGCGGGGUGAUGGUGCUUGCACUAUCACUUAGCGGCGGACGGGUGAGUAAUGCUUAGGAAUCUGCCUAUUAGUGGGGGACAACAUCUCGAAAGGGAUGCUAAUACCGCAUACGUCCUACGGGAGAAAGCAGGGGAUCUUCGGACCUUGCGCUAAUAGAUGAGCCUAGGUCGGAUUAGCUAGUUGGUGGGGUAAAGGCCUACCAAGGCGACGAUCUGUAGCGGGUCUGAGAGGAUGAUCCGCCACACUGGGACUGAGACACGGCCCAGACUCCUACGGGAGGCAGCAGUGGGGAAUAUUGGACAAUGGGGGGAACCCUGAUCCAGCCAUGCCGCGUGUGUGAAGAAGGCCUUAUGGUUGUAAAGCACUUUAAGCGAGGAGGAGGCUCUUUUGGUUAAUACCCAAGAUGAGUGGACGUUACUCGCAGAAUAAGCACCGGCUAACUCUGUGCCAGCAGCCGCCGUAA
rnacentral:rRNA from 1 species